rnacentral:sRNA from 1 species
UACUCGACACCACCGAUGAUGGGCACGC